rnacentral:rRNA from 1 species
CGGAACGGGUGAGUAACGCGUGAGGAACCUGCCUCAAAGAGGGGGACAACAGUUGGAAACGACUGCUAAUACCGCAUAAGCCCACGGCUCGGCAUCGAGCAGAGGGAAAAGGAGCAAUCCGCUUUUGAGAUGGCCUCGCGUCCGAUUAGCUAGUUGGUGAGGUAAUGGCACACCAAGGCGACGAUCGGUAGCCGGACUGAGAGGUUGAACGGCCACAUUGGGACUGAGACACGGCCCAGACUCCUACGGGAGGCAGCAUG